rnacentral:rRNA from 1 species
GACGGGCCCGCACAAGCAGCGGAGCGUGUGGUUUAAUUCGAUGCUACACGAAGAACCUUACCAGGGUUUGACAUACAAGUGGUAGAGAAGCGAAAGCGGAUCGACCUUCGGGAGCUUGCACAGGUGCUGCAUGGCUGUCGUCAGCUCGUGUCGUGAGAUGUUCGGUUAAGUCCGCUAACGAGCGCAACCCUCGCUGUGUGUUAUAUGUGUCACACGGGACUGCCGGUCUUAAGCCGGAGGAAGGUGGGGAUGAUGUCAAGUCAGCAUGGCCUUUAUAUCCUGGGCUACACACACGCUACAAUGGCCAACACAAUAGGUUGCUAAGCCGCGAGGUGGCGCCAAUCCAUAAAGUUGGUCUCAGUUCAGAUUGUAGGCUGCAACCCGCCUGCAUGAAGAUGGAGUUGCUAGUAACCGCAGGUCAGCUAUACUGCGGUGAAUACGUUCCCGGGGCUU